rnacentral:rRNA from 1 species
CCUACGGGGCGCAGCAGUGGGGGAUAUUGCACAAUGGGGGGAACCCUGAUGCAGCGACGCCGCGUGGGUGAAGAAGCGCCUCGGCGCGUAAAGCCCUGUCAGCAGGGAAGAAGAAAGACGGUACCUGACCAAGAAGCCCCGGCUAACUACGUGACAGCAGCCGCGGUAAUACGUAGGGGGCAAGCGUUAUCCGGAUUUACUGGGUGUAAUGGGAGCGUAGACGGCAGGGCAAGUCUGGAGUGAAAGGCAGGUGCCCAACCCCUGGAC